rnacentral:rRNA from 1 species
GACGAACGCUGGCGGCGUGCUUAACACAUGCAAGUCGAACGGAAAGGCCCUGCUUUUGUGGGGUGCUCGAGUGGCGAACGGGUGAGUAGCACGUGAGUAACCUGCCCUUGACUUUGGGAUAACUUCAGGAAACUGGGGCUAAUACCGGAUAGGAGCUCCUGCUGCAUGGUGGGGGUUGGAAAGUUUCGGCGGUUGGGGAUGGACUCGCGGCUUAUCAGCUUGUUGGUGGGGUAGUGGCUUACCAAGGCUUUGACGGGUAGCCGGCCUGAGAGGGUGACCGGCCACAUUGGGACUGAGAUACGGCCCAGACUCCUACGGGAGGCAGCAGUGGGGAAUAUUGCACAAUGGGCGGAAGCCUGAUGCAGCAACGCCGCGUGCGGGAUGACGGCCUUCGGGUUGUAAACCGCUUUCGCCUGUGACGAAGCGUGAGUGACGGUAAUGGGUAAAGAAGCACCGGCUAACUACGUGCCAGCAGCCGCGGUGAUACGUAGGGUGCGAGCGUUGUCCGGAUUUAUUGGGCGUAAAGGGCUCGUAGGUGGUUGAUCGCGUCGGAAGUGUAAUCUUGGGGCUUAACCCUGAGCGUGCUUUCGAUACGGGUUGACUUGAGGAAGGUAGGGGAGAAUGGAAUUCCUGGUGGAGCGGUGGAAUGCGCAGAUAUCAGGAGGAACACCAGUGGCGAAGGCGGUUCUCUGGGCCUUUCCUGACGCUGAGGAGCGAAAGCGUGGGGAGCGAACAGGCUUAGAUACCCUGGUAGUCCACGCUGUAAACGGUGGGUACUGGGUGUGGGGUCCAUUCCACGGGUUCCGUGCCGUAGCUAACGCUUUAAGUACCCCGCCUGGGGAGUACGGCCGCAAGGCUAAAACUCAAAGGAAUUGACGGGGCCCCGCACAAGCGGCGGAGCAUGCGGAUUAAUUCGAUGCAACGCGUAGAACCUUACCUGGGUUUGACAUGGAUCGGGAGUGCUCAGAGAUGGGUGUGCCUCUUUUGGGGUCGGUUCACAGGUGGUGCAUGGCUGUCGUCAGCUCGUGUCGUGAGAUGUUGGGUUAAGUCCCGCAACGAGCGCAACCCUUGUUCACUGUUGCCAGCACGUUAUGGUGGGGACUCAGUGGAGACCGCCGGGGUCAACUCGGAGGAAGGUGGGGAUGACGUCAAGUCAUCAUGCCCCUUAUGUCCAGGGCUUCACGCAUGCUACAAUGGCUGGUACAGAGAGUGGCGAGCCUGUGAGGGUGAGCGAAUCUCGGAAAGCCGGUCUCAGUUCGGAUUGGGGUCUGCAACUCGACCUCAUGAAGUCGGAGUCGCUAGUAAUCGCAGAUCAGCAACGCUGCGGUGAAUACGUUCCCGGGGCU